rnacentral:rRNA from 1 species
UACGUAGGUGGCAAGCGUUGUCCGGAUUUACUGGGCGUAAAGCGAGCGCAGGCGGACCGUUAAGUAGGAAGUGAAAGGUCGGAGCUCAACUCCAACAUUGCUUUCUAUACUGGCGGUCUUGAGUCUCGGAGGGGAAAGCGGUACGACACGUGUAGCGGUGAAAUGCGUUGAUAUGUGUCGGAACACCAAUGGCGAAGGCAGCUUUCUGGACGAUGACUGACGCUCAGGCUCGAAAGCCAAGGUAGCGAACAGG